UAGGGAUCGAGGCUAAAGAGUUCUUCAGUCUCGACAACACAUCUCUUGGAGUUCUAGCUCACCUUUUUGGUGUUGUUCUUGUACUCAUCUGUUUAAUCUAGUUCUGCCACUUCUUCUUGAACUUCUUGUUGGAUUUCAAGUCUAUAUUUUGUGUCCGUGACAGUAGGUUGCAACCUCCAAAACUUGAGAUUGAAUGCAAAUUCUAAAAAUAAUAAAGAUAGAUGGUAUAUUAUUACAGAAAUUGUAGCACACAAUUCUAUAAUGCAUUUCAAAACAAUACACAAAAGAAAAAAAUUGCAACAAGGUUCAAAACUCUUUUUAAAUUUUUUUC
rnacentral:lncRNA from 1 species